UCUACCCUAAAAAAACAUAAGAACAUUUUCAGGAACAAUUUUGAACAGUUCAAGAAUUAUGUAUUGGCUGUGUUUUGUUUACUCUAGGCUUUUGGUUUGUCUAUGCUACUAGUGAAUGAGCAAAAGUAAACAUAUCAGUAAACAAGCAAGGAAUGGGCAUGAAAGAUCAGACAUUAAAUAUUGGUUGGAAUUUACAGUACCAUUCUGAGGCAUUGCUUGGUCCUCAGAACUUUCUAAUUGCUUUGUUAGGUCGCAUAACUCCUAAUCUAAGAUAUGAAAAGAUUCAAAAGAGGAAUAAAAGAUAUCAGACUACUAAAAUACCCACACUUAAUUUUAAGCUAAUGAAAUCUCACAAAUUGGGCAACUCCCCUACCUACCCCCUCCUGCUUGAAACAAGGUUGGCUGCAUCACCAUAAAUAGCUAUCUAACCAUGGACAGAAACAAGUAACUUAGGAUCAUAGACCUGAAUCAAUUUGCUUCUUGGUAUUUCCCUUCUUGAUCUGGAUUAAGUCAAAUCCCUUGUUAUACGAAAGUUUAGACCUCAUAGCAACUGAAGAUAAUUAAUCACCAAUCAGCAAGACUCUUCACAAUCAUAUAACUAUUAGUUAAUAAGCUUAGCUUCCUCCUCAUCUCCACAUAUCAUCAACCUUUCUAACAUCGAGAGUCACAGAUUCUAAAGGCCUAGUUGAGGCAAUGCUUAACUUUAAUUAAAUGGAAGUAAAAACUUGAACUCCAUCCAAGUGUCAGGGCCCCAUCUUCUUUUUUUUAUGUACUGGGAAGCACCUACAAUAAAGGCUAAUGGUGGAUGACUCCCUCACUCGCCUCUUGACAAUAUGAAAACAGGAUUAUCUUUGGCCUGUCAUUCCAUGUCAUCACUAUCCCAUGUUAGGAACCUAAGUUAUUCAAUCAGGGUCUCUUCUUAUUUAAUUUUAGUAACCACAAAGUGGCUCUCUUUCAUGGACAUGAUAGCAAGCCAUCAGAAUGGGUCAUUCUUGUUUCACAUGAGAGGAAGUAGGAGGGGAAAAAGAAUUGCACCUUAAAAAAAAAGAGGGGAAAAGAAUGAAUAAGAUGCUUAAACACUCAAUGGACAUGACAAAUGGAGGUAAUCGAAGGACAAGGAUGGCAUAUAAAUGUAUACAUCAGUAUGAGAAGGCACUCAGGCAAAUCCCCUUGAAUUUUUAAUAAAGAGCUAAGAAUUUGCCUUCAAAAUACACAAAAAUAAAGUACUUUAAAAGAUAUCGAAGAUUUUCUAGGAGCCCAGAACCAUAAAAUGUCAACCCAACUAUGUAUAAGUCGUAGACAUAGACCAUGAAACAUAUCCUGAAAGCAAUGAAAUAACAGGACAACAGGAAUCACAUGCCGAGAACAAAGAGCGACUAUGAAAUAUUGUUUUCUGGAACAACUGACACACAAAAUUGAAUCUAAUUAAUUCAGAAAACUUUGAAGUAGAAUAAUACUUGGAGAGCAUCACUUGAUCAUCUCAUUAAACAAGAAAAAGAAUGCCUCGUGAGAGACACCAGCAAUGCAAGUCCCAGUCCCAGACAAACGCAGUGUAGGGUUGAGGUUAGGUUGACAGACAAUUAUGAAAGAAGCUCAAAAAAUGAAACUUAGGGUGUGUUUGGUGUUGCCUUUAGAAAGUACUUUUUGCAACUUUUAAAACAAAGCACUUUCUAAAACAUGAUCCAUCUCCUCCAACUCUGCAUAAACUAAAAACAUAAACAUUUAACUUAGGAAGAUAAAUUUGACAUCUCAGUUACAUUUCAAUUGGUAGUUUGUUCUUAGCCUAGGCUUUUAUCUUCAUAUAUGCCACUGGAAAAUGAAAUCAUGCAUAUGGAACUUAACAACAGAUAAGAAAAGAGAUUGGCCUAGAAGGAAGACCACGAGUUUGCUACUGAUAGAUAUCGCAUGAAAUGAGAGACAACUUGGUUUCCUAGGUUGAACUUAAGUUUCCUUGAUUUGAAACACAAUGCACAAAUAACAGUUAUGCAGGCUUUCUACAAAGAUUUGGCGGACAAACAUGCCAUUCUCCAAAUAAAUCUACAAACCUUGGAUUCUCAUGAAUGGGCAGUACAACAAGAAAAAAGAAGGGACUCACAAAAGAACAACAAACCAUGAACAGAGACAAGGAUUAAUUUGGUUCAGCCAAAACCAAGUCUUAUAACAUCCACAGGAGAACAAUAUAAAUGUAGUUUCACUCACCACAAGAAGGGAUGGCAGAGAUACAAGGGACAUAUCACCUCAAAAUCUGAACAUGACAGUGCAUACUAUUCCUUUUGGCUCCAACAUCGAGAAAAAUAAGGCACAAAACAGUCCUCAAGGAUAACAAACCUUCUUGAAUAAGUUUUCCAAUGCUCCAAGAGAAACCUAGAAGAUUGGCCACUUCAUUUCUUCAAAACUCUCCCCCCCCCCCCUCCUCCUCCUCUUCUCCCAAUCCCAUUUCAACUUUCUCAGGUGAAAAGGCCAGCAGGUCAUAACAGCCCUUAGAUCAACCCUGAUUGUUGAAUCUCAAAAUGACAAGAGAAAGUGAUUCAUUUGUAAAGAAUUGGGGCUUUUGGCUUCACCAACUCUGCAUGAGUUAUAUGGGCUAACUCGACAUUAAACUGAGCAAGAUUUGAAGUUGUAAAUGAUAUAUCAUAAUGCACAUGGCAAAGAAGUUUCUUCCCUUAUAACAGAAAACAUUAACUGCCCCAUGAUUUGCUUUACGAAAUAUUAGCUUCCAAUAUUUCAAGGCCUAUACCUUUUUGCCUUUAUAAAUCCUACAAAAACCCACAGGCCGUGUACAUAUCUAAACAAUUUAAGUUUAUGGUUAACCAUUUUCACAAAAUGAGCAAUCGAAUAGCUCCUGAAAGGUCUUAUCUCUUCCUGCCCUUACAUCGUAUAGCCCUUCCAAGCAUGGACAGUACAAUCUAGGAUCCACAAUUUCACAAAAUAUGAACAUUAGCUUCUCUCCUUUUGAAAUGAUUAGCUCCCUUAACAAAAAAUAUAGACAUCAUGGUCGCUAAAAGUAAAAAUUCCAUGGCAUGCAAGCCUCUUCAAAAGACACCCUCAACAGCCCUGCAGCUAUCAGUUGAAAAGUUUGGCUUUCCUUUUUCUCUUUCUCAGAGCCACUAGUCCAGCUGUAAACCAUCCUUGUUGACUCAAACAAUUAGUGCAGUCAAAAAAGGACUUCUUUUGCUAUAAAUCUAUGUCUUUGAUAGAUACGAGCUGAAUAAGAGCUAGGUGAAACAUGAUGAUUCUUUUUCUAUCAUUUUAUUAAGCCCUGUCCAUCCAAUUGUCAAAGACAAGUUUCAUCUGCCAUUUUUAUCUAGACCCCUUUCAAGCACCCACAAGAAAGGCUGAGAAAUAAAAUGUAUGCAUCAGUUCUCUUUUGAUCAUUUGAUAACUUUGUUGCCUUUUGGCCAGUUAUCCAUAGUUAGAAGGCAGUGUUAUCAGAGAGCCUUGUUUGCAAUUCCCUUGCUAUGAACAAAAGGCCUCUCAACUCUUAGGAAAUAAGUGGGACUCUAGGAAGGUUCCCUUUAUACUGUGUGUUGUAUUAUCCUAAAGUGUUGAAACUUCAAUUUAUUAGCACAAAAUAUUCUGAGUGUUCAUCUCCAUAUAAUGUUACCGAGCCUGACAGGAGCUAGCGAUGAUAGUUGAUAUCAUGUUGCCAUUCGUACAAGUGCUGGUUGCAAUGUUUAUUUAGUUGGUUAACAGAAAUGUUGCAACUAUAAGGAGAAAAGGAUAUAGAUACAUAUACCAACCAGUCCAAGAUAAUAUUAAAAAUGACUGUGGAAUUAGUAAGAUAUGUUAUGCUGAAGCUGAACUGCAAAAAGACCAAAGGUGAUUUCCCUUUGAUGUCUGCGAACAAAAGAGGAGUCCAAGACUCUAAGCCAUCAGGAAGAAAUAAUCUUUCCUGUUUUGUAGGAAUUGACAAGAACUGAUGACAAGAGUCCAAAUGCGGCAUCCGGAGUGAUUGAGAGGAAUAAAGGAAUGAGGAUGAUGGAACAUAGAGAACAGCAACAAUAUGUACCUCAUGCAUGUUAAGAUGAGAAAGUAAUAUGCUAAUCUGUUUCCAUAUAUACAACUGAAACUAAAAAAAAACAAAAUACUUUUACAAGAAAAUGUGGUGGGGCAAUGUACACCAUUCAAAGUAUGCAUACCACGUCAUCUCGUAGAUUUCAGCCACGAACUAUAAGAACCACCACAUCUUGAUGAACAUAGACAGAUGCAGCAGAUCAUCAUCCCAUUUCACCAGUUUUUCUGCAGCACCAUUAGCCUGGUGCGAAAAACACAACUAAUGGAUGUAAUUUCAGAGGUUAAACCAGUCAGCUGGCUGCUUUGUGUGUGGCACAAGAUGCCCUAUCACAAUGAUUAGACGAAGCCACAUCAUAAUGUUUGAAACUGUUGCACUUUAAACUACAAAUGUGGUACCUAUUAGGCGAAGAGAAUAUUAGGAGCCUUUUCCCAACAGUGAUGAUAAAAACGAGGAUCAUUAACAUGGCGAGAGAAGCAAUACUUGUAAAUGAGAAAAAAAAAAAGACACUUUCAUUAAGUUUCUCUCUAGGACAUAUCACAUUAACCACAUAACCAAAAAGCCAGGUGUAUGCAUCUAAUGACAAUUUAAUCAGGGGAUGAGAGGAUGACGAGGAUGAUGAUGGUGAUGGCGGGUUAUGAUUUACAACACAGGUAUAAAAUAAGUAAUGACUAAUUCAAGAGAAAUUCCCUUCAUUUCCAAACAAGAAAAUUGUUGAACAUUUCAACAAUCAGGAAGAAGUAGACAAAUAACAUUUUUAUGGGUAGCACCUUGGCAACAGUAAUUUAACCACAUUAAAUGAACUACAAAAAAAUCUUCUAAUGCUAUGAUAAUGGUGUGGAGACAGAAGUGAUAUAUCAAAAACAAAAAUGAAAAUACCGUUUCCUAAGUAAUCAAUACCAAUAUUAGGAAGCAUGCCAACGUCAUUAGAUGACUGAAUUUGAAGAAGCAUAAUAUUUUUUUCAAAGCCAACCAAUAAGACUAUAGCCAGGUCGAAUUCAACAAAUUAUGUAAAUGCAAAUGCAGCUUUUCUUACUGGGUUUCUGAUAACCAUGUUGUAGAGCUACUCAUGUUAGAUAACAAAACUACAAAGCCAUGUCUACCGAAAUGGCAGGAAAACAAAGCACAUAUUUUUCAUUGUGUUUUAUUGAGAAGAAAAAAAUGAGCAAUACUUAAGGAAAAGAGCCUUGAGUUAAUAGAACCAUAAAUUUGAUGCAAUUCAUGGGACAAACCUGUCCUUCUGCAGAAUUGCAGUAUUUUACAUGACGUAUGUAAGAUGAAGAUAAUAUUUGACAACAGAUAAUGUAGAACUAGGAAAAAUCUGGGCAUAAAACAGAUAACCACGGUCACAUAGAACUGAUACUAGAAAUAGUAGUAGAGACAUGCAAAGAAAUAUACUAUUCAACUCAUCUUUAAAUACCAGCUACAGGUAACUAACAAGAGCAGUUAUGGACAAGCCCAGAAG